rnacentral:rRNA from 1 species
AGUGAACGCUGGCGGUAGGCCUAACACAUGCAAGUCGAACGGCAGCACAGUAAGAGCUUGCUCUUACGGGUGGCGAGUGGCGGACGGGUGAGGAAUAUAUCGGAAUCUACUUUUUCGUGGGGGAUAACGUAGGGAAACUUACGCUAAUACUGCAUACGACCUACGGGUGAAAGCAGGGGAUCUUUGGACCUUGUGCGGAUGAAUGAGCCUAUGUCGGAUUAGCUAGUUGGCGGGGUAAAGGCCCACCAAGGCGACGAUCCGUAGCUGGUCAGAGAGGAUGAUCGGCCACACUGGAACUGAGACACGGUCCAGACUCCUGCGGGAGGCAGCAGUGGGGAAUAUUGGACAAUGGGCGCAAGCCUGAUCCAGCCAUACCGCGUGGGUGAAGAAGGCCUUCGGGUUGUAAAGCCCUUUUGUUGGGAAAGAAAAGCAGCAGGUUAAUACCCCGCUGUUCUGACGGUACCCAAAGAAUAAGCACCGGCUAACUUCGUG